UCGUGCCACAUCAUCUCGGACCCUGGCCUUCCUCCCUGCAGGGCACCAUCCGCCCAGGAGAAGCAGCUCCGUCCGCCACGCCGAGGAACAGUAGCGCCGUCAACCGCCACCAAGGAUCCACUGCUGAUUUUUCUCCAUGUGCGACCUCUGCUUCGGCUGAUCUCCUUUCCUCUGCCCCGCCUACAGAAUACAAGAGGUAAGCUUCUGGUGGGUGAGUGGUUCCUUGUCGCCCCUUCUCUGCCCACCUCCAGAUCUGGUCGUUAUAGGUAAGCUGGGUUAGUGGUUUUUCCAGUACGUGUAGGUAACUAAUCGGAUCCAGCCAUGAAUUGGUUGGCUUCUUCCAGUAGGUAAAUAAAUCUAUGGUUGUUCUAGUGCGUGCUUCAUCUACAAAUUUGCAGCAUGUAACAAUUUCUUAGCCGAGGCAUUACAAAGGAGAGGGAUGCGUGUCAUUCUUCUGUUAGAAUUGUAAUUACGUUCCCCUUUGUGAUUGGCAUAUUUUAUUUUUCAAUUUCUCCUUUUCUUAUUGCGCAGAUGCUAGCUUUCAUAGCCUCUUGUAGCUAAAUCUGAUUAUGUGUGCGCCUAUCAAGUCCCAAAUGUGAUCUGUAUGUCCUAAUUACGUACACAUCUAGUGAUGCAUCUAUUGAAGAGAAGCAUUUGUCAGUAACAUACUAACAAUCAGUCAAUCUUCAUACGUAGGUGGUGAAGGCAAGUAAAGAAUUUAUGCCCGUUCUAUUACAGGAACAUGUGAAUAGGUGAUAGUCCUCCUAAGCUGCUUAAUGCUACAAUUUCUAAUGUCAUUAUAAACAUUGGAUGCAUCAGACUGUCAUAAUACCUAGUUUUUCUAUAAAAAUGGUAAUAAAUAAGCGCAUAAUAUGAUGAUAAUAAAUCUGGGUUAUGGAAGAAAAUUGUAUAUUUGGUUUCUACAUUUGUAUAUGUAUAGCAGCACCCUGAUUAUGCAAAUAGUAUCAUAUCCAGAGUAUUAAUCAUGGCAGCUAGUAGAAAAUGUACGGUUUAGUUUGUAGCCACAUACAUGUGAAUAUUAUUCCAGCAAGAAUGCGAGAUGCUAGCAUAUAUCUAUCUAUCCCUGGUACUUUGCGGAUAGGCCAGCGGCGAGCCUUGUUUUUUCUUUUUAGUUUUUCCCUUGAUGUAUUCUCCUUGUUGAACGAACAGUUUUUGGCAUCCUGGCAUGCCACCAUUGUGCUGGUUGGAUCUUGGUUACCAAUUAAUAUUCAGGGGAUGUCUCUCUUUUAAUUUAUUGAUUUCCUUGUUGCGAGGAGAGGGCUGCUGAUGCCGAUGAUUUAUAGUUUGGAUGAUGAUGAUGGUGACUAGCCACUGAUGCUCGAGGAUGAAGCAGGAUGAACCGAGGUCCUCGAAGCCUAUCCCUGAUGCUGAUGGGUGGACCAUUGUGCCGCCUAGGUGUGAUCAGUCUGGGCAAUAGUAAAUUAAGCAUAUGAGAAGCAAAACUUGGUGCUAUAUGGUCUGAAGGUAGAGUUGGAACCCCUCCGGUUCAGCACCGGGCAUGGUCGGUUGGAAUUGGAUAAGGACCACAAACCCACCAAGUCGCCCUUUUGAUCAACUACAACAAUAAUAACAACAACAACAAACAAUGUGUAGGCACCCGACUCCAUGGAUGAGGAGGACAACUAAGACCCCAAGCCCAAGACGACGACCCUGACCUCAACUCCCCAAACAAGGUUGUGGAUCAGCGCCUCUUGACUGUGAGGGACAAAUGGUAGACAGUAGCAAGUCCACAAGUUGACUGAAGAUGUUCUCGUGACUGUUUUGUUGAGAACUGGGUUGACACAUUUUGUUCAUAUGGAAGUUGAUUCGGCUUGGCGAUUGAAGAGUUGGUCUUCCGUAUUAUUCUGUAGCAAUCCAGUGAUCAUGCAAUUGGUCUCUUAGGAACUUUGGCCAUUUUUUUGUAACAUGCCUCUCUUGUAUAUCUGAUUUGUGGAUCCUUAAAGGUUGUAGCUACUUGAGUGAAGUAAAACAAUGAAUGUUCUAUAUAUGUUGAAUGAAUGCAUUUGAUCAAUAGUAUCUUUUGAUGAA